rnacentral:rRNA from 1 species
ACUCAAAGGAAUUGACGGGGACCCGCACAAGCGGUGGAGUAUGUGGUUUAAUUCGACGCAACGCGAAAAACCUUACCUAGGCUCGAACGACUGGAAGUAGCCCCGAUGAAAGUUGGGGUGGCCUGUAAAGUCAGGAACCAGCCGAGGUGCUGCAUGGUUGUCGUCAGCUCGUGUCGUGAGAUGUUGGGUUAAGUCCCGCAACGAGCGCAACCCCCAUUCUGUGUUGCUAACCCGCAAGGGUGCACUCUCAGGAAACUGCCCACGAUGAGUGGGAGGAAGGUGGGGACGACGUCAAAUCACCAUGGCCCUUAUGUCUAGGGCUACACACGUACUACAAUGGCCGGUACAGAGGGCUGCAAUACCGCAAGGUGGAGCUAAUCCUUAAACCCGGCCUCAGUUCAGAUUGUGGGCUGAAAUUCGUCCACAUGAAGGAGGAAUCGCUAGUAAUCGCGGAUCAGAAGGCCGCGGUGAAUACGUUCCCGGGUCUUGUACACACCGCCCGU